rnacentral:lncRNA from 1 species
UGAUUGGUUCCUAUAAAAUGGGGGAAGGGACAGGAAGUGACAUGGAAAAAGGACUAUAAAAAGUCUUGAACUUCCUCUCCAGGAGACUUCAACUUUGUUUUUGGAGUUCUUUGGAACUUGACUUUUUGAACUUCAACUUGGGAUUCUGCAUUGGUGAGCUGGACUGAAGGAGGAGACUCUUUCUCUGAAUCCUGCAUUGGCUUGCUGGAGUUCUGAGUUUGAGUUGGAGGCUGGUGAAGAAUCUCCUGACUGGAUUUGAGACCUUUCCUGAAGAAUCUGCUGACUGGACCUAAGACCUGUCUUCAUGAGACUCUUCUUAAAUCUCUCCCUUUGGACUGACAUGUGAAAGUUGAAUCUGGCUGAUCACUUCUUAUGAGCAGCCUGGACACCAAUUCGAUCCUGGAACUCAGCCUGGAGGAACUCACUCAUACAGCUUCCUUGAGAUGGUCUCCUGGACAUUAAUUUAAGGGGCAUUUCAUUGCUUGUUAACAUCCUAGUCAGAGGGAGAGAAUGGAAGAGAAAGGACUUAGCACAGUAGAUGCUGAAAAAUGUUCCUUGACUGAUUGAUCUUCUUGUUUCUUUCUUUAUUAAAAGAUCCUGUAGAAGAAACUGAGACCAAAUAAAGAUUAUGUUUUCUUU